rnacentral:rRNA from 1 species
AUGAAUCACGAAGAUGGUUCUGAUGAUUGGGAUUCUCAAAGGCCAGAAACGCUGCCACCUUUGGAUGCAUCAGAGUACAGUCAGCUCAUCUCUGCAGGACCGUUGCUGCCGCUGCUAGAAUAAGCCUUCGUGCAGCACGUGGCAUCGGGCAGCACCCAUGUACCUGCCAUCAACGUCAUACACAGAGUCGGGAAUGGCAAUCAUUCCAGCAAUGCCGGCAAGCACCCCUUUGAACACAAGCACUGGCAACACUCAGAGAUCGUGGUGCCUCAGCCAUCGUACAUUGGGCAGAGAUUUGAGUCAUUCGAAGCAGCAAAGGAAUACUACCAGACAUAUGCAAAGUUCCAUGGAUUUGCGGUCAACACCGAGUACCAUAGGAAAAUUAAGAAAACUAACAAGUACAGCAGAGGUGAGAUGAGGUGCCACAAGGCACGCAGGAACAAGAAGGGGAAAGACGAUGCGCCUGUCGUUCCGGAACGAAAGAGAGGUAUCAUUCAGAAGACUGAGUGCCCUGUCCGGUGUAAGCUAAACGUAGAUGGAGCACAGUGGGUGGUCAAUGAGUAUUUUGACGAGCACAACCACCAACUGAUAAAGAAGUUCGACCUGGUGAAAUUUCUGACCGCCCACAGAGGGUUCACCCCCGUCGAAAGGCAAUUCGUAAAGCUGCUACAUGAUUGUAACGCCAAGUACCAUAGAGAGAGCAAGUUGGCAGACAUAGAGGCCACAAUUGCCUACUUCGACGAGAAAGCCAAAGAAGAUCCAGAUUUCUUCUGCAGGAUAAGGUUGGACGAUGAGGACCGUGUCAGGAACAUGUAUUGGGUGGAUGGUGCUGCAAGAAGAGCCUACAAACAUUUUCAAGAUUGCAUUUCAUUCGACGCGACGUACCUCACCAACAUGUACAAGAUGCCGUGCGCUUCGUUCAUAGGGAUAAAUAACCACAAUCAGUCAUUGCAGUUCGGCUGCGGGCUCGUCCGGAACGAAGACACGGAUGGGUACGUUUGGUUGUUCAAGACCUUCUUGGAGUGCAUGGAUGGACUUGCUCCGAUGAACAUAAUAACGGACCAGGAUUUUAGCAUGCGUGCAGGCAUAGAGGAGGUCUUUCCGUUGGCAGUGCACAAGCACUGCAGGUGGCACAUUAUAAAGAAGGCUGAGGAGACGCUAGGACCGUUCUUUGCUGACCGUCCAGAGCUGCACAAGACAUUCGAGCUGUGCGUGGACCACAACUUGACGGUGGAGGAGUUUGAAAGGAGCUGGAUGGCCAUGACUAAAACACACCAAGUCCAAGACAACGAGACUCUUGUAAGCCUGUGGGAGAAGCGAAUGUACUGGGUGCCGGCCUACUUCAUGCAGUGCUUCUUCCCCUUUCUGCAGACUACGCAGCGCAGCAAGGGAUUCAAUGCUGUUUUGAAGCGGUACAUCAGUCCUGGCAACUCAUUGCUACCGUUUGCUAAGCAGUACACAGCUUUGCAACAAAAAAAUCUGGGAUCUGAGCUGCAGCAAGAAGUGAACACCGCGCUAAAGCAGCCAAAAUUGCUAACGUACUUACCGAUGGAGAGGCAAAUGAGCAAGAUAUACACCAACAAGAUCUUUAACAAAUUCCAGGAAGAAAUAAAGCGUGCCAGCAUGUUCACGGCUUUCCAGGUGGACGAACGUACGUUCAAGGUGUGUUCUAUUUUGGGCAUGUCAGAUUCAGAACCUGAAGACCCGGACAAAGGAAGGAACUACUUCGUCACAUCCUCGAUAGGCGAAGGUGAGUUCUACUGCCAAUGCUGCAAGUUCGAACGGGACGACAUUGUGUGCUGUCACAUACUAAAAGUAAUGGACGUGAAUGCUGUGACACGGAUGCCCCACCAUUUCAUAAGGCGGCGAUGGACUUGGGACGCUGACAAUGCGUUGGCGCCGCAAACAACACACGCAGUUCUGGCUGUGCAUGACGAGAGACCAGAGUCAACCAUGGAAGCCGUGAGGCAUGUUGUGCUGACAAAGAACUAUGCUGAGCUAAUUGAUGAAGCGUGCAAGAGUGAUGACACAACGAGAGUCGCAGAAAAACACAGGAAAGCACUGAAAAGAGAGCUUGAUGAGAUCAAGAAGAGGAAAGCCGAUGAAGCCUUACACCGGUUCCCCCGCACAUCAAGCGUGCCUUCAUCCACGGGGUCGUCGUCUGAAAACUCGGAGAUAGGAUCUGGAACAGCAAGCACACAGACCCAGGUCAGGAACCCACCCCGUUCCAUCACAAAGGGUCGUCCAAGAGAGAUAAGGUACAAGUCGGGAUUGGAGAUCCAAGCAAAACACAAGAAAACGAAGAAAGGGGCGGCCAAUCCAUGA